rnacentral:rRNA from 1 species
CUUGGUCAUUUAGAGGAAGUAAAAGUCGUAACAAGGUCUCCGUUGGUGAACCAGCGGAGGGAUCAUUACAGAGUUACUACUCCAAACCCAUUGUGAACCUUACCUAUGUUCUGUUGCCUCGGCGGCGUCGGUCAGCGCCCCUCUGAGAAGAGGACGAUGCCCCUCCCGCCGGCAGCACCAAACUCUUGAAUUUUACAGCGGAUUACAGUUCUGAUUUGAAAACAAAAAACAAGUUAAAACUUUCAACAACGGAUCUCUUGGUUCUGGCAUCGAUGAAGAACGCAGCGAAAUGCGAUAAGUGAUGUGAAUUGCAGAAUUCAGUGAAUCAUCGAAUCUUUGAACGCACAUUGCGCCCGGCAGUAAUCUGCCGGGCAUGCCUGUCCGAGCGUCAUUUCAACCCUCGAACCUCCGUUUCCUCAGGGAAGCCCAGGGUCGGUGUUGGGGCGCUACGGCGAGUCCUCGCGACCCCCGUAGGCCCUGAAAUACAGUGGCGGUCCCGCCGCGGUUGCCUUCUGCGUAGUAAGUCUCUUUUGCAAGCUCGCAUUGGGUCCCGGCGGAGGCCUGCCGUCAAACCACCUAACAACUCCAGAUGGUUUGACCUCGGAUCAGGUAGGGUUACCCGCUGAACUUAAGCAUAUCAAUAAGCGGAGGA